AUGUCAAAAAUAUAGUAAAUUGUGAUCAGUUUUUACAGACUUAAAACAAAAAAAAAUGCAGCCAUCUACAAAUUAAGCAAUAAUAAAACAUGAAAGGUUGAUAUUUGGUUAUAUUUAAACAAUUAAAAAAUUGGUGGGCAAAUGAUAUGUGUAAAAGAAAUUGAAAGGUGAAUAUCCAUUUUUCUGCAUUUUGAAGCAUUUUUUGCUUCCAAAUUACUUCCCUUGGAUUACUCUCUAGCGUUUGGAGGUACAAUGUGUAGGCACUUGUAGUGGUAAAUAAAUAGUUUGGUGAGAAAACUUAUCAAAGCGAGUACGGGGUGAUGAUUGGCAGUGUGGAAGAAGGAAAAGAGGCCAAGAUAUAAUGCAUAAGAAGACAAGAGGAUUCACCAAAGAGGAUGAAAAGGAAAAGGAACAAGAACAUACACAUGUAAAUCAUGACUAUAACAGAAUUCAAAUGAAACCUUGAAGUUAAUUUUGGAAAAGACAAUUUCAGGAAUUGGGACAGCUUAUAGAUGCAUUUCUCUUCAAGGUAGAAAAAAGUCUUCUUAAAUAUACGAGUGGAGAUGCAACAUCAUGAAGUUCAAAGUGCAAAGCUGAAUAUCAUAAAAUCUCCAAACAACAGUGAAGCCUUAAAAGUAGGAGAUAUCACAUCAAUUUUUUUCCUUAGAAAGUACCAUGAUGUCUGUUACUAAUAAUUUAGUUUCCCAAACGAGGAGCAAUGUAGCUGGCUUGUCAGAGUGAUUUCCCUGAAGAUGAAAUUGGAAAUGAGAAUAUUCAUGUGUGUCUUCAUACUGGAAAUCCUCAAGAUUCAACCAUAUUUCUAAGUGACUCAGUGACAUCAUUAUUUAAGGAAGCUCUUAACAGCACACUAAUGAGCUCUACUUGAAGGAGUAGUUUAAUACAGUAAGAGUGAUCUCCCCUUAGAAGUCAAAUAGAAAAGAAAUGGUUGCUUACCAUUUAUUUCACAAUUUGUAAUAGAUUAAAAUAUUUUAACUAGCAUUAUUUUAGACAAAGAGUAAGUAAUUGAUUAACAUUCACAUUAAAAUUCCCAAUAGUCAACAAUAGGGUUUUCUUGUAGAAAUAAUGCAGAUACUUGUUGAAAAUGAACUAAUAGUCUCAAUGUGCCUUUAUAAUAUUUUUUUUCCUUAAUUGAAAGUCUGCAGAUCAUUUUUUGAUACACAUGUAUUGUUAAGAGCUUCUUUAAAUUUCUAAUGAUAUGUAUUGCUUAUUAAAAUACAUUAUAGUUGAUAAUUUUGAUAAAGGUUGAAAAAUAAUUCACAAGCUAACAGUACUUGUCUUAAUUGUAAUACUUUGUAGCCUUUUGUUCUAUCAUAUGUAGAUAACUGUGUAAUUUUUUUGUGUUUUGGAUUUUGUUUCAUGUUCAUAUAUUAUAUAAGCAUAUAAUUAAGAAAUUAUGAUGUAGCCUUAUUAACUGCAGUAAUCAGUACUAGAGGACUAUUAUUUUUGUAUUGUGCUAGAAAUUGGGGGGGGGGGGUAUAUUUAUGAUUAUAAUUCUUGCCAAUAGAUAUGAAUAAAUAAUUUUUUAUGAGUCACUGACAAUAUCUCAUUGAUUUUAUAAAUUUUAAGCUUAAAUUCCUUGAAUUUUUAUUUUAAAAAGAAAAAUAUAUCUUGUUAUAUGAAAUGUUCAUCAAAGCUGUUUUUUGGCGAAAUGCCAAUUUUAUGAUUUUUCAUUUUGUUAUAGUCAACAUUUGUUGUUAUUUGCCCAUGAAUGUUUUUGAAUAUUUUCAUUAUUUGUGACAAGUACCUUCAGAUGAAAUAGGUGAUACAUUGUGAAAGUUCUGCUAAUUUUUUAUUUUUCUUCCCAAAAUGUUGUAAUUUUUCAGUUUUGACCAAAUUUCGAAAAAUUGAUAUUUUGCCAUUGUUUGACAAAGUAUUACAAAAUUUUCAAAUAAUUAUUAAACAUAUUAAAGAUAUCCAUUGAAAGUGUUGAUGUUGUAGUUUUAUAAGAUAUUAGCAGCAGAGUUCUAAUCUUAAAUUUGGGUUCAGCACAGAUGGUGUAAAAAGUGUGAUUUUAGCAAAAUUGCCAUACACAAAUUAGCCCUAUAUGUCAGAAAUUUUGUAUCCCGGUUACCAUGGUAACGGAGGAUGUCCAGAAAAAAAUUAUGCCAUACAUAUAAGUUUUACCCUAGGAAGAUACUAUAUGCCAAGUUUGAAGAAAAUCUGAGACUAUGCGUGCCAGACCCUUUCAGAAUUACUUUGGUGCUUACAGAGAAUUGCUCUUAAUAACUGA